AUUUUUGUUAUAGAUUUUGCCUACUUGGCAAAGUGUAAAAAGACAAUAGCUGCUCGGCAAAGUAUAAAAAGGCAAAGAGCUGAGAAAGAAGAGAAGAAGAGGAAUCUAGCAGAGGAAUGUGAAUAUUCUCUCUUGUGGAACACAAUAAGG